rnacentral:lncRNA from 1 species
AGGGAUACUACAAUUGGAUGGAAAAGAGAAAAAUUAUUAACUUGGAAAAAUCAGUUUUGGUUUAUGAAAAAAGGGAGAAGGUCUUAAUCUGGAUGUUAUGUUUGAUGGGGUUGAUUAAUAUCAUAUUUGUAUGUCUUAUGUUAGUUAAGUUGUAGUGAAAUCAUAAUAACUGAAUUCCCUUCAGGACCUGUAAUUCCCUUUUUGAAUAUGUAAGCAAAGUUGGAUGAUGUUUAUGCAGACAUUAUGAUAUGGUAGUUGGGUGCC